CCUACGGGUGGCAGCAGUGGGGAAUAUUGGACAAUGGGGGCAACCCUGAUCCAGCCGUGCCGCGUGUGUGAAGAAGGCCCUCGGGGUGUAAAGCACUUUCAGUGAGGAAGAACGCCUGGUGGUUAAUACCCAUCAGGAAAGACAUCACUCACAGAAGAAGCACCGGCUAACUCCGUGCCAGCAGCCGCGGUAAUACGGAGGGUGCGAGCGUUAAUCGGAAUUACUGGGCGUAAAGCGCGCGUAGGUGGCUUGAUAAGCCGGUUGUGAAAGCCCCGGGCUCAACCUGGGAACGGCAUCCGGAACUGUCAAGCUAGAGUGCAGGAGAGGAAGGUAGAAUUCCCGGUGUAGCGGUGAAAUGCGUAGAGAUCGGGAGGAAUACCAGUGGCGAAGGCGGCCUUCUGGACUGACACUGACACUGAGGUGCGAAAGCGUGGGUAGCAAACAGGAUUAGAUACCCGAGUAGUC
rnacentral:rRNA from 1 species